rnacentral:siRNA from 1 species
AAACCCUAUUGAAAACCGUUGUA